AUUAAUCCGUUAAAACCUAUAAUUAAUAACAUGCUCUUAUUACUUGUACUGUACAAUACUAUUUAGGCUUAUGUGAUUUACUUGUUAGUCAUGCAAAAACAAUAAGUGUAUUCAUAAACACACGCCUCAAACCCUCACAAGUCUCAACACAUACGUCUCAAACCCUCGCAACUCGUAAGUUCUUUUUUGGUCGUCAAGUUCUUCGAUCCUCUUUCAAGAACACGUAUUGAAGGGAUUACAUUUCCUAAAAGAUGGAUACGGUGUUGCUAGGGGAAAACGUGACUACAACGUAAACUUUAUGCCUACUUUUACUUAGAAGAUGCAUUCUUCAUUGUGUGUUUGUACCUUUCGAUUCUUUUCUGAAUUGAUCCUUCCAUAAAGGCGAUAUUGUCCUCCAUAGACUGGUCUUUAACACUGGCGUCUUCAAUAAUGUUUUUUAGGAUUUUCAAAUUGGGGUGGUCUACCUAUGUGGAGACGGUGGUGUGAGACAUGUUUUUAUGUUGAAUCCUUCAUGUUGUUUCAUUUGAGUUGCUUCCAUAAUGUCAUCUACCUCUUGGAGGUCGGACCAAAAACAAAGUUAUUGACGUAUCAUCCAUGCAUGCGGGUGCACCCACAUGGUUUAGUAUUAAGCUACAUCACGGUGGGAAGUUUACUAAGUUACAUGAUAUAAGAAAAGAGAAAAGGUGCAGCCUUGGGGAAAUACACAAGUUAUCUUUCGUAGUUGUCAUAAAUUUAAAAGUAAAAAAGAAUUAAAGUAGUAAAUUGAUUUCCAUGCACUAGAAACAAGAAGGAAUAUGUUCUUUAAAAAAUGACAACUUAAAGCUACCAACCGAGACACCACACUGAAGAUAGGUGUAUGGUCUAAGGCUAACCCUGCUUCCCCUACUAUGUAAUUGAGGAGGAUUUAUGUUUGCUUGGUUCCACUCAAAAAAAGUUUCAAGGCAUUCCUUAGGGACUUAGUAGGUUUUUAUGGUGCCUUCAUGAAAGGCCCAUUCCAUAGUCAAGUUCUUUUAGCAUUAAGUUUGGAUUCCAACAAUGAAAUUUAUCCCUUAGCCUAUGUAAUUAUUGUGUCUGAAAAAACAACUGGUUGGAACUGGUUUUUAGAACACCUUGGGGAUGACUUGGAUCUUGGAAUAAACUCAAAUUAUACUUUCAUAAAUGACAUGCAAAAGGUAAGACAUACAUAUAUAUUUUUUCAUUUUCAAUGUACGCUUUUAAUUCUAAUUAUUAAGUUUGAUUCAUGUAGGGUUUAUAUACUUCAAUUUGUGAAUUGUUUCCUAAUGCUGAGCAUAGGUAUUGUAUUAGACAUAUUCAUGACAAUAUGAGAAAGAAGUAGGGACAAACUGAGUAUAGGGACCACUUAUAGAGGUAUACAUCAACACUCACCAUUCCUGAAUUUGAUCAUUUGAUGAAAGAGUAUAGCCAUUAUGAUAGGGAGGAAUGUGAGUGAUUGAAGCAGAUUCCUCCUAUAUAUUGGGCAAGGAGUCAUUUUUCAGAAGAGAGGUUUCUAAUGUGUUGAUUUCAAACAUCGUGAGGUGUUUAAUGGGAAGAUAGAGAAAGUAAGGGACAAAUAUGUCAUUGAAUAUUUAGAGUACAUUAGGGAAUACCUAAUGAAGAGGAUAUGCAAAGUCAUGAAGGAAAUGAUAAAGGUUAAAGGUCCACUUACACCAAUAGCAACAAACAUCGUAGAUGCCCGAAAAGCAGUUGCUUCACAAUAUAUUGCUACGUGGAAUGGGGGAGAUAAGUAUCGGUUAACUGGAGAUUUAAAAGAUCAACAUGUUGUGGAUGUUAGGAGGCAAACCUGUAGUAGCAGAAAAUGGGAAUUAAUUUGAAUUCCUUGCAGACAUGUAGUUGCAACUCUCAAUGAAAUGAGCAAAGACUCAAAGCAUGAGCUUUAGAUUUACAAAUGGGUACACGGGGUCUAUUAGCUAGAUACAUGGAAAAAAGCACACUCUAUUAAGGUGGAACCAAUUAAGGGGAGAGCCAUGUGGCCCAAAACUAAUUGUCCAACAAAGCUAAUUCCUCCUCCCCCUCCCCCCCCCCCCCACAUCGCACUUAGGUGGGAAGGACUAAGAAAAAGAGAAGACAGAGUAUGGGUGAAAGGUUGAGCAAAAAUCAGAAGGGGAGUCAAGGUGAUUGAGUCAAUGCUACACAAGAAAAAGGAUCCCUUAGACCAAAAAAUGAUGGAGCGUAGAAGCUAUCAAGGAAGCAUAUCAGUGUUACUUGUAGCAAAUGCAAGAAUAAGGGACACAACUCUAGGACAUGUAAAGGGAAAGGUGGGAAUCAGUCCAAGAAGUAAGCUUUGAUGACGUUGGUAUGGUUUCAUGCAGGUAUUUUUCUGUGAUUUUGGUUAUAUAUUGUUGAAAACUUGGUUAUUAUUGUUAGACUUAUAUGUAUGGUGCAAUGACACUUUGAUUGUAUUUUGGUUGUUAUGUUUAGACUCUUAGGUAUUGUUUCAUGAUUUACUUAUGUAUGGUGGAAUGAAACAUUUAUGCUUAACUUGGUAAUGUAUUUUUGUUCUAUUGAUGUAGUUAAUGAAA